UCAUAGCAGGCUGUCCCAUUUCAUAAGGGUCAAAAUAAAAAUACCAUAUGACACAGAGGGUCUGAUCUACUAAGACUCCAAAUAAGGAGCGCUGAUUUGCUUGUGCAAUUAGUGGGUGUGUUGCGUGGGAUCUACAAAGGUGCAAAAGUGGUGCGGACCACCCUAUUUAAAUGACAAUUUUGUGAGUGCUCCUGGCUGUCACCAUGGGUUUGGGAGAGCAAAGUGGCCACAAAAGAAAGAUGAAAUUGACACUACGAUACGAAGUUUGAGAUAAAAAUAACAUGGUUUUUUUAAUGCACUUUAUAUUUAAGUAUCUCAAAGUGCUACAAAAUUGUAAAAAAAACAUUUAAAAAUGCAAAAGCUAAAAUAUAAUUUAUAAAACAUAGAAAAGCUGACUUUAACAGCUCCGGCUUCCUUGCCCCAUGUUUUGUUUCGUGUUCUUUAAUUGCUUAAAGAUUGUCUACAGUCCCACUGCACUGACCUAUCUCAAGCAGACGUCUUUUUUCCCCAAGCGUAUGUUUUCAUGAAUAUGUUAUGGAACAUGCAGCAGACAACUAUAAUCUGCACCACCUUUUCUGGCCUUCAUAGAAGCACUCCUACAGUGCAAUCCAGACAAUGGUGUGGUGUAAUAACGUAAUGGUGGGCUGGGAUUAUAUGGUAAUCUGCAGCUGAACAAUGGCAUUGCUGGAUAGAUGAUAUGUCUCUACUGUUUUCCUUUCUUUUUUUUAUGUAUUUUUUCACAUUUUUCAGAUAGUAAGCUGACAGGAAAGGGGUGGAGAGUGGGGAAAGACAUGCAGCAAAGGUCUUCCCUCCGUCAGGUAUUUCUGACAAUUGAAACUACACACUUGAAGUUGGGGAGUACUUCCAGGACCGGAAACACCAAGAUUUUUUUUUCUAUUUUUAUUAAUGUGUUGUUAAACAUUGGAACCAUGCAAGCUGUGCACUGCCAAGAAGAAGCUUUCUCAAUAUCACCAAAGACAAAGAUCUGUUGGUUUACAAAAAAAAAAACUAACUGUUCGAGAAUCAAAUAUUUCUGACCAGACGUACUACAUUCCUCUUCUGCGGCAGCACCUCUGUCACUGAGUUGCUGGUAACGCAGUGAAGGCAGAAUAUCUCCAAGGCAGAUGGUGAAUUAUUAUUAGUAACAAAAAGACAAACCCAAAAAGUUAUCCAUUUUAUAUCACAGACAAUUAAAACAUAAUGUAAAAUUGCUGGACUUAUAUCUCAUGCAUAUUAUUGAGUGUGCUUAUUUGUAGCUUUUCUAACAAUAACAAUGUGUCACUAAUGCAUAGCUCCUGAGUUUGGGUAAUAUAUGCCUGUCAAUCUCAGCUAAAAUAAGUCUAAAUUUAAACUUGGAAUAAACAUCUAAAACUGAAUUUAGACACUGAAAAUUACUUUGACUUUUAGACCACAUACAUUUGUCUGUGGACCAUUUAGAUAUUUAGAAAUUUCAUAAAAAUUACACACUGGGUAUAUCUUAAACCUUUUGUCGAUGCUGGCAUUCCUUGGUAUGGUUUCUCUCUCCAUCAGUUAUUUUACAACAUUAUUUGUUAGUUGAUGUAAAAGUCUGUGUCUGUUCACAAAGAUUUCUGCAGAGACUAGAUGGAAAGGCAUAUAACCUACUGUGAAAUCUAUUUUUCCAGUUUUGAUGGGCUAAACUGAAAGCUAGGUGCACUCAGUAAACUCAUUUGCCAAGCACUCAAAUGAAGCCGCUGUUAUGUUAAUGUCAAGUUUAAACAGAUAUUCAUAGCCAUCAUCUUAUUACUACAACUUUGAUAAUGGAUAUAAUUUAAGUCAGCUAGGUAAUUGCUUUUUAUUUAGUGCAAAUUAACUUUUCCAUUAUUUUAUAUUGAUGACUGAAGCUACUGCCUGGAUCAUAUUGAGAAGCAAGUCUUUUGGAAUGAAUGAGAAGCUAAAAUCUUGUACAACAACAAAGAUCAAGGUAGGAGGUGUUUGGGUUGUACGAUACAAGGUUAUGUUUAGGCAACAAUUCUUUGAUUAAAUAAGGUUUAGGGUAAAUGAAAAAUUUGUAUUUGUGUGAAGUCAGGAUGAAUAUUUUCAGGUGUAAAUUGACAAGCAGUAUAAGGAACCUUUGUAAUGCUUAUUGAGCCUGAGUGCAGAUUUCCAUAUGAUUACAUUUGAAAGAGGUGCUCAACAAAUGUGGCUUUCGGCUCUCAGUGUGUUUGCAUUCCUGUCAAGAAUACAAAACACGCUUUAAUGUUUGUAUUGUAUUUGCUUCAGCCUCUUAAACCAAAACAAAAAAAGAACACAAAAAAAGAAAAUGAAAGUUUUUAAAAUGCAAGCAUAUUUUCUUGAAUCCUAAAGAUGGACAGAACUGACCAUUUUGUCUUGCACACACUACAGAGAGUUCUAGUUUGUGUUCUGUUUGGCUUCAGUCUUCAGUGGAUAAAUUGCAGUGAAUUAAAUUGCUAUAGUUAUUGCAGUGAUCGCAUCAGUUGAGUUGUCAUGGAGUGAAGAGACAUUUUGUGGAACAUGAUUUUGUGAAAUGAAGUAUUUGUCAACUGCAAGUUAAUGUUGCUAUUGUUCAUUGGUGUUGUUGUUUACUGUCUUCAAGGCAGCUUUUGCUGUUGAAUGUCCCCAAAUAUAAAUAAUUUCUGAAUCCUAAUUCAGAGUGGUGCAUUUGUGCAUUUCCCCUGCCUGCUCAUCUGUAUAGCAUUAUUAACAUUUAUUCAGAAUUGUACAAAAUUUAAAUGUUUGGUAUACACUCAACUAUACACUAAACUGAUGUUUUGUGAGAAAAAAAGCAUUGAUGUUGUGCUUUUGUACAUGCUAUGUCUCUAAGCAGCCUGUUCAGCCCCUGAGAUGAAUGUUAAAGGUUAGAGAACCAUUCAAGGGCACAGUUAGAUUUACUGGAAUGGUCACAGUUGCCAGGUCACCAUUGCCUUAAGGUGUUAUGAAUGUACAGUUGUGGUACGUCUGUGUAAAUGUUUGUAUAAAAGUUCUUUAUACAUGUAUCUGUGCAUACAACAUCUGGCAAAAGGAAUUAUCAUCCUUAAAGGAUGUUGAUCUUUUUUAUGUUUUAGACAACAAAACUCUACCAUAUAUGAUACAAAAAACAUUAAAGAAUGAAACCAUUUGGCUGAGGUUAAGCUUUCUGGCCUGACUCUUCUUCACUGAAAACAACAUGCUUUGAAAACAGAACACACAGAAAGAAUGAAUGAAUGAGACACACACGUUUGAUGGUGGAUCAGUGAUGCAGACCUUAAUGUUGUAGCAGGUUCUCAAUGCUCUUUUGCAACACCGCUUUGUGCGCUACCUUUUAAAGGUUUGGCAGUGGAACAUAGAGUUCUGCACUGUAGUUUCAUACAUUAACAUUGUUCAUGUGAGCCAGUUUGAAACAGUGCUACAGUCGAUUCACAUAUAUACUGAAUCCAACGGCAGGUAGUGAAUGCUGGCAGUGUGGAUCUUGACCAGUACAUGUACUGGUACACCCCUAUUACAAAGUGCAAAGUAUUGUUUUAUAUGAGUGAAGUUUGUGUCUAAUAAUUUAUCCAUUCUUGAAAGCAUUUGAAAAUGAUUCCAUGUUUUAUUCCUUUUAUGCAGACAUUAUUUUUCUCUGCGUUUUUAGAGAAACCAAAACAAGGAAAUGAGAAAUUCCUUAAUUUUAUGAGCUACGUUAAAAUGUUUUGCCGUAUAGUAAAUAUUAAUAAUAGUAUUACGUCAUAUCUGUAGUUUGCUUUUUUUGAAACAUUUGACAGCUGAAUGAAUAUCGUCCAGAGAACUCAUUUUCUUUCAAUCUCUUUUGUAUUUAACAUUUUCUUGAUGAUUCUAUGAGUCACAGAAUCAUCAUCCAAAAUCAUCAUCCAAAAUCCCUCAUAGAUCCAAAAUCACUGCUCAUAUUGAAACCCUUUGCAAAUUUUAUUUCUUUGUUUAAUGAAAAGAAUGUAGAUAAUAGUGAGCAUUACUGUGUUUAUCAGGUGAACUGAAUUGACACAAUAUUUUCUAUGAUGUCUGAGGUUUCUAAUUCUGUUAUAGCAAAGAAAACAAUCUGUAAAAAUAUUGUAUGUUUUUAAUGAAAGUACCUAAUGCAUUCUUUAAAAGGUAUGUUUAUGCUGCUGACUUUGCAAGGCCCUGGGUGUUUGCUUGUGGUUUUCUUUGCAGCUUAGACCUGCUCUAGAUGGCAGAGGUUUGAGAGGUGUGCCUCUGCCAUGAUAGCAUAAAAUCAUUAUGUCGAUCAGCUUUGCCGUUUUACUUUACGUAGGUAUGGCAGAUGAGUGUCUCAGCAGGAGGCUCAUCUACUUCAUAUUUAUACAUUCCUCAAACAGAGAAUAUCAACAAUAACUCCUCUGGCUGUUAUCCUCCUAUAAAGUGUGCAUAAUUUCCACAAAUUACUCUUUAAUUCUUUCUGUCUUUCUCUGAAUCAAACAGUUUUGAAAUGUAUAUUCCGGUAAAUAUUUAGCCAGGCAACUAACGUUUUUUUGCUUUAAGUUUUUUGUGUUGUGUCAUGUAACGUAAUAAAGCAUGUCUGUUGAAAUAUAA